rnacentral:rRNA from 1 species
UACGUAGGUGGCAAGCGUUGUCCGGAUUUACUGGGCGUAAAGGGCGUGCAGGCGGUUUGUUAAGUGCAGGGUGAAAGCUCCCGGCUCAACUGGGAGAGGUCCUUGCAUACUGGCAGACUUGAGGGAGGCAGAGGAAAGUGGAAUUCCCGGUGUAGUGGUGAUAUGCGUAGAUAUCGGGAGGAACACCUGUGGCGAAGGCGGCUCACUGGCCCGUAACUGACGCUGAGGCACGAAAGCGUGGGGAGCGAACAGG